GACGAACGCUGGCGGCGUGCUUAACACAUGCAAGUCGAACGAUGAACUUGGAGCUUGCUCUGGGGGAUUAGUGGCGAACGGGUGAGUAACACGUGAGUAACCUGCCCUGGACUCUGGGAUAACUUCGAGAAAUCGGAGCUAAUACCGGAUAGGACCUUGCACCGCAUGGUGUGGGGUGGAAAGUUUUUCGGUUUGGGAUGGACUCGCGGCCUAUCAGCUUGUUGGUGAGGUAAUGGCUCACCAAGGCGUCGAGGGGUAGCCGGCCUGAGAGGGUGACCGGCCACACUGGGACUGAGACACGGCCCAGAGUCCUACGGGAGGCAGCAGUGGGGAAUAUUGCACAAUGGGCGCAAGCCUGAUGCAGCAACGCCGCGUGCGGGAUGACGGCCUUCGGGUUGUAAACCGCUUUUAGUAGGGAAGAAGCCUUCGGGUGACGGUACCUGCAGAAAAAGGACCGGCUAACUACGUGCCAGCCGCCGCGGUAAAAC
rnacentral:rRNA from 1 species